rnacentral:rRNA from 1 species
ACUACGGGAGGCAGCAGUGGGGAAUAUUGCACAAUGGGGGAAACCCUGAUGCAGCGACGCCGCGUGAGUGAAGAAGUAUUUCGGUAUGUAAAGCUCUAUCAGCAGGGAAGAAAAUGACGGUACCUGAUUAAGAAGCCCCGGCUAACUACGCGCCAGCAGCCGCUGUAAUACGUAGGGGGCAAGCGUUAGCCGGAUUUACUGGGUGUAAAGGGAGCGUAGACGGCAGGACAAGUCUGGAGUGAAAUGCCGGGGCUUACCCCCGGCACUGCUUUGGAAACUGUGCAGCUAGAGUGCAGGAGAGGUACGUGUAAUUCCUAGUGUAGCGGUGACAUGCGUAGAUAUUAG